rnacentral:rRNA from 1 species
CUUUUCCUUGGUCUAAAAAGCCUCGGGAAUAAGAGGGGGGCAAGACUGGUGUCAGCCACCGCGGUAACACCAGCCCCUCGAGUGGUGGGGAUGAUUAUUUGGCCUAAAGCGUCCGUAGCCGGCCGGGUAAGUUUCCCGUUAAAUCCAGCGUCUCGAGCGUUGGACUGCGGGAAAUACUGCCCGGCUAGAGAGUGGGAGAGGUGUACGGUAUUCUGGGGGUAGGGGCGAAAUCCUUUGAUCCCCGGAGGACCACCAGUGGCGAAGGCUGUACACUAGAACACGUCUGACGGUCAGGGACGAAAGCUGGGGUAGCGAACCGGAUUAGAUACCCGGGUAGUCCCAGCUGUAAACGAUGCAUGCUAGGUGUUGGGUUGGCCACGAGCCACCCCAGUGCCGCAGGGAAGCCGUUAAGCAUGCCGCCUGGGAAGUACGAUCGCAAGAUUGAAACUUAAAGGAAUUGGCGGGGGAGCACCACCAGGCGUGAAGCCUGCGGUUUAAUUGGAGUCAACGCCGGGAACCUUACCGGAAGCGACAGCAGAGUGAAGGCCAGAUUGAAGAUCUUGCCAGACGAGCUGAGAGGAGGUGCAUGGCCGUCGCCAGUUCGUGCCGUGAGGUGUUCUCUUAAGUGAGAUAACGAACGAGACCCGUGCCACAUGUUGCCACCAGAAUCUAAAGGAUUGCUGAGCACUCUUGUGGGACCGCAGCCGAUAAGGCUGAGGAAGGGGCGGGCAACGGCAGGUCAGUAUGCCCCGAAUCUUCCGGGCCACACGCGGGCUGCAAUGGUAUGGACAGAGGGCUGCCACCCCGAAAGGGGGAGCCAAUCCCUAAACCAUACCUCAGUUGGGAUUGAGGGCUGCAAC